CAAGGGUUAUCGACGCUGCCAAUGUUCUAAAGUUAACGCUCGUAACCGAUAAUGUAUUUGAAUGUAAUACGAGUGCUAUCAUAAUGUAUUAUACAGGGUUUCUCGUUUUAAUCGGUCCACGCAAAUAUCUCCAAAACUAUUGUAUAUUACUGCGUACCUGUGUACCUGUAUAUCAUUCGAGGAAGCGUUUCAAAUCAAACUCAUAUUGUUUCAAGGCGAACAUUUUAUCUCGGUGGCAAUACCUUCGAGAUUUCAAGAAAAGUACCAAGGCACUUUAAAAGGGUCGACAGAUGAUUAAUUCAAAUGACAUUUUAUCAUCAAUCUUAUAGAACUGAUCAUACAAGGAAAAAAA